UACGGAGGGUGCAAGCGUUAAUCGGAAUUACUGGGCGUAAAGCGUGCGCAGGCGGUUUUGUAAGUCUGAUGUGAAAUCCCCGGGCUCAACCUGGGAAUUGCAUUGGAGACUGCAAGGCUAGAAGCUGGCAGAGGGGGGUAGAAUUCCACGUGUAGCAGUGAAAUGCGUAGAGAUGUGGAGGAACACCGAUGGCGAAGGCAGCCCCCUGGGUCAAGAUUGACGCUCAUGCACGAAAGCGUGGGGAGCAAACAGG
rnacentral:rRNA from 1 species